rnacentral:rRNA from 1 species
UACGUAGGGUGCAAGCGUUGUCCGGAUUUACUGGGCGUAAAGAGCGCGCAGGCGGUCGGAUAAGUCGAAUGUGAAAGCCCCCGGCUCAACUGGGGAGGGUCAUUCGAUACUGUUCGACUCGAAGGCAGGAGAGGGAAGUGGAAUUCCCGGUGUAGUGGUGAAAUGCGUAGAUAUCGGGAGGAACACCAGUGGCGAAGGCGACUUCCUGGCCUGUUCUUGACGCUGAGGCGCGAAAGCUAGGGGAGCAAACGGG